UAGGGGAAGAAAUUAUUGACGGUACCCUAAGAAUAAGAGGUUGCUAAACUCGUGCCAGCAGCAGCGGUAAUACGAGUGCCUCGAGCGUUAUCCGGAAUCAUUGGGCGUAAAGGGUGUGUAGGUGGUCUACUUAGUCUUCUGUUAAAACUCCCGGCUUAACCGGGAAGGUGCAGGGGAAACGGGUAGACUAGAAUAUGCGAGGGGUCUGUGGAACUCAUGGUGUAGCGGUGAAAUGCGUUGAUAUCAU
rnacentral:rRNA from 1 species